GCUUUCCCUCCAGAGUGGAUCCUGAGUACGGCGGAACACGUGAAAUUCCGUCGGAAUCCGGGAGGACCAUCUCCCAAGGCUAAAUACUCCCUAGUGACCGAUAGUGAACCAGUACCGUGAGGGAAAGGUGAAAAGCACCCCGGAAGGGGAGUGAAACAGUUCCUGAAACCGUGUGCCUACAAGUAGUUAGAGCCCGUUAAUGGGUGAUAGCGUGCCUUUUGUAGAAUGAACCGGCGAGUUACGAUUUGU
rnacentral:rRNA from 1 species